rnacentral:rRNA from 1 species
CGCGCAGGCGGUCGGAUAAGUCGAAUGUGAAAGCCCCCGGCUCAACUGGGGAGGGUCAUUCGAUACUGUUCGACUCGAAGGCAGGAGAGGGAAGUGGAAUUCCCGGUGUAGUGGUGAAAUGCGUAGAUAUCGGGAGGAACACCAGUGGCGAAGGCGACUUCCUGGCCUGUUCUUGACGCUGAGGCGCGAAAGCUAGGGGAAGGCAAACG